ACAGAAACUGUGGAAAGUGUUGAACAGGCCAAGCGUUAUGUUAAGGAGAAACAACGAAAAAGUGGACAUUCUUUGAUUUGAAUGGGCGAGGACCACGACCCUCCCUCCACUGUACUAUUAGUCAUAUUGUACAAAAGAACAAAAAGACUUUACUGUUGCUUUGAGAUGAAUCCAUCAUUUGUCUAGCGUUGGCUGGCUAAGAUAUUUGCAUGUACAUAAAAGCUUCAUUCCUAUCCCAAUUAAGCCGUUGAGUAACUGCUCGGCUGGGUGCACAAGUAUAUUUCAUUCCCAGGCACAGUACAUACUUUACACGAAGUUACACGCAGACAUGCAGUCGACACCAUCAGUGUAUGGCACUGUCCAUGGAUUUAUAUCUGUUAGUCGCAAUUAGCAAAGGCUAUCGAUAUGACUGUACAGAGCUGGGGACCUUUUAUACUACCAACAAGCAAGUUUCCCGAGUGACUGAUUUGAGAACUAGACCUACAGUUUACUGUCUCUUCACAUGAAGAUUACCUUUACAACCUUGGACAUACGUGCUUGCCCUUUGAAAUCCACCAGUCACCAAAGGAAAUUCUUCCGUUUGGAAAAUACAUGCAUUUGGGAUAUCAUCUCAUUCAUCUUCGAAGUACCAUACGUCUGGUAUUUCAUCUUCGCUGAAUUGAAAGAUACUGCAGUGUGACGUGGCAUCAUUGAAGACACAGUUCAUGUAGACCUCGUCCAGAACCACAUGAGAUCCAAGACCUGAGUGCGACUGUACACGUCUCCCAGUGGAUUGUUUGGAUUUACAAGGAACAAUCCCUUCACCCUGAUGCCCUUAGGAAGUAAACAACAACAUAAUUAUGAUUCUAAUCCAGACAUCAUGACAUUCACGCCUUAUAGAUACAAAAAUGUACUCAUGGACUGAAAUGUUUGAAUAUGCUGAAAGAAAUAAACUCUACAACCUUAGCUGUUUUGGUCACAGAUUGAAGCAGUUCUCGUUUUUUAAAGUUUUUUGGCUUCUUCCACUCUAAAGCCCAUAGGAUAGCACAUACUUCCACAAUUUGCACUAAUUUCCUUUGUCAUUGCAAAUCAGAAGUGACAUUAUUAUGUCAUGAUGAGGUCCGUUUGAUUUGUAGUUUAUGGGAUAGAUUGUUUGCUAAACUUUUUUCACUGAGGCAUGUUCAACUAUCUCAACUAAAAUAACGAUGAAACCUAACAGAUAUAAAGUCCUUUGUGAAAAAUGUGUCCCCUACUAGAGAACGUCAUGAUUAGUGGUAGAUUGAAUUUAACAAGGGAGCAUUUUCGCAACCCCUACAGAAGCAUAUUCGUGAAGCCUAAGCAAUAACUAGGAACAUGUUUGAAUAAAGCAGAGUCAUAAAGUCAUCCGAGAAAAAAGGUUGCAGAGAACAAUUUGCCGACAAAAGUCAUUUUGACGCAAUGUAUUUGAAGUGUAUUACUACUGGUUUUCUCACACACAUUGCAAGAAGGUAUCCGCCCCAAAAGAUCAGCUUAUUUUUUCCACUUUGAAUUGGCAGUAAACCAACUCUUCAAACGCAA